GAUGAACGCUAGCGGCAGGCUUAAUACAUGCAAGUCGUGGGGCAGCGCAGGUAGCAAUACUGGGCGGCGACCGGCAAACGGGUGCGGAACACGUACACAACCUUCCGAGAAGUGGGGAAUAGCCCAGAGAAAUUUGGAUUAAUACCCCGUAACAUAACGAUGUGGCAUCACAUUGUUAUUAUAGCUUCGGCGCUUCUUGAUGGGUGUGCGGCUGAUUAGAUAGUUGGCGGGGUAACGGCCCACCAAGUCUACGAUCAGUAGCUGAUGUGAGAGAAUGAUCAGCCAUACGGGCACUUAGAAACGGGCCAGACUCCUACGGGAGGCAGCAGUAAGGAAUAUUGGUCAAUGGCAGCAAGUCUGAACCAGCCAUGCCGCGUGAAGGAUUAAGGUCCUCUGGAUUGUAAACUUCUUUUAUCUGGGACGAAAAAAGGCGAUUCUUCGUCACUUGACGGUACCAGAUGAAUAAGCACCGGCUAACUCCGUGCCAGCCGCCGCGGUAAGAC
rnacentral:rRNA from 1 species